AUUCCAGCUCCAAUAGCGUAUAUUAAAGUUGCUGCAGUUAAAAAGCUCGUAGUUGGAUUUGUGGCGCGGCCGUCCGGCGGGGCUCCUUCAUUGGGGCCGUUUGUCUGGUUUUUCGGCCGCUCCAUUCUCGGGUAGUGUGUCGCUGGCAUUAGGUUGUCGGCUUCUUCACGCCCGUCGUUUACUGUGAAAAAAUUAGAGUGUUCAAAGCAGGCUUAGGCCAUUGGAUACAUUAGCAUGGAAUAAUGAGAUAGGGCCACGACGGUCUAUUUUGUUGGUUUGCACGUUGUGGUAAUGAUUAACAGGAACGGUUGGGGGUAUUCGUAUUCAAUUGUCAGAGGUGAAAUUCUUGGAUUUAUGGGAGACGAACUACUGCGAAAGCAUUUACCAAGGAUGUUUUCAUCG
rnacentral:rRNA from 1 species